ACGGGUGCGUAACGCGUGGGAAUCUGCCCUUGGGUUCGGAAUAACAGUGAGAAAUUACUGCUAAUACCGAAUGAUGACGUAAGUCCAAAGAUUUAUCGCCCAGGGAUGAGCCCGCGUAGGAUUAGCUAGUUGGUGAGGUAAAAGCUCACCAAGGCGACGAUCCUUAGCUGGUCUGAGAGGAUGAUCAGCCACACUGGGACUGAGACACGGCCCAGACUCCUACGGGAGGCAGCAGUGGGGAAUAUUGGACAAUGGGCGAAAGCCUGAUCCAGCAAUGCCGCGUGAGUGAUGAAGGCCUUAGGGUUGUAAAGCUCUUUUACCCGGGAUGAUAAUGACAGUACCGGGAGAAUAAGCUCCGGCUAACUCCGUGCCAGCAGCCGCGGUAAUACGGAGGGAGCUAGCGUUAUUCGGAAUUACUGGGCGUAAAGCGCACGUAGGCGGCUUUGUAAGUUAGAGGUGAAAGCCUGGAGCUCAACUCCAGAACUGCCUUUAAGACUGCAUCGCUUGAAUCCAGGAGAGGUGAGUGGAAUUCCGAGUGUAGAGGUGAAAUUCGUAGU
rnacentral:rRNA from 1 species